UACGGGGGGAGCAAGCGUUGUUCGGAUUUACUGGGCGUAAAGGGCGCGUAGGCGGUCGUGCCAAGUCACUUGUGAAAUCUCCGGGCUUAACUCGGAACGGUCAAGUGAUACUGUCGGACUAGAGUACAGAAGGGGCAACUGGAAUUCUCGGUGUAGCGGUGAAAUGCUUAGAUAUGACAUAGAACACCAAUUGCGAAGGCAGCUUACUACCCGAAUAUUGACACUGAGGCACGAAAGCGUGGGGAGCAAACAGG
rnacentral:rRNA from 1 species